CUGGCUCAGGAUGAACGCUGGCGGCGUGCUUAACACAUGCAAGUCGAACGAAGCAGUUAUACGAUCCCUCGGGGUGACGAUUACUGACUGAGUGGCGGACGGGUGAGUAACGCGUGGGUAACCUGCCUUGUACAGGGGGACAACAGUUGGAAACGACUGCUAAUACCGCAUAAGCGCACGGUGUCGCAUGACACAGUGUGAAAAGUAUUUUCGGUACAAGAUGGACCCGCGUCUGAUUAGCUAGUUGGUGAGGUAACGGCCCACCAAGGCGACGAUCAGUAGCCGACCUGAGAGGGUGACCGGCCACAUUGGGACUGAGACACGGCCCAAACUCCUACGGGAGGCAGCAGUGGGGAAUAUUGCACAAUGGGCGAAAGCCUGAUGCAGCGAACCGCCGCGUGAGCGAAGAAGUAUUUCGGUAUGUAAAGCUCUAUCAGCAGGGAAGAUAAUGACGGUACCUGACUAAGAAGCACCGGCUAAAUACGUGCCAGCAGCCGC
rnacentral:rRNA from 1 species